ensembl:lncRNA
UCCCUCGGGAGCGCAGGGCCGGGGCAGCAGCCCGCUCCUUCGGGGGAGCGGGGGCGUCGUGCCGGCAGGUAUCCCCCGGGCGAGAGGAGGGGGAGAGGGGGGAACCUCCCCCUCCGUCCGGGCGGCGGGCGGGGAUGUGCCAUUUCUCUUCCCGAAAAACGAUGCGGGACGCCAGGGCCGGGCCCGGCAGGGAGCGCCGCCCUCCGGAGCUGUGGCUUGUGCCGCUCCGGGUGGGUGUUCAUCGCUCAGGUGAAGGGAGAGGAGACUUCGCACUUGCACUCGCUUGUCUUCUCUGUGGCUGUCCUAGGAAGAUUUUUCAUGAUAGCGGCAUUUCAAAAAGGAAAAGUUGCAGUCUUUUCCCUUCUUUUCAUUCACUCUGGAAUAGAAAGUGAGCAACAAGCUGCUCCCCUGCUUCCCAUGUAUCAGGCAGUACUCGAACCCAUCUCAUGUAACAGGAGAAAAGGAGAAACCUCAACAUAGAUGAGGUGAAAGAGCAUCUUUCCAUUCAACUCUGACUGUGAUACCUUUGGAAGGAAGAAUACUUUAUGGAGAAGGAUAAUGUCAUAGGUAAGGCUGAGGGCUAUAUAUACAGGUUCUUUCUGUGGUUCUGCCAAUGACCUUUUAUCUGAUAUGGAGAACCUACUACCUCUAUACUACAUUUUUCUCAUCUUCACAAAGAGGAAAAUACCUACCUCAAGGAAUCCACAGAUAUGAGUUUAUUAACUUUUUUAAAGGAAUAUGAGAUCUCAAAGGAUUAUGUGAGUGCACAACAUUACUGAUUGUCCCACUCCUGUGUUACAGAAAACUGUGUUAUGCAAGAACACAAUGAAAAACUAUUUUCCUUUUCCCUUUCUGAUUUCUUGUGCAGAUUUUAUAUUUUGGGCUGUGUGUAUAGAUAUUAUACUUAGAAAUUACAUUAGGUCAUUUCCAGGUUGCUAGUAGAAGGUGGCAGACCUAUCUAUCCCAUAUUAUGAAGUAUCUUGAGAGCUGGCAUAUUGGAAAUCUAGAUCUCUGAACAUGCCAAAGAAUUUUAACUUCAGUCUUUUUUUCUGUCUACAUUUCACUUGACAUGUUUACCUUUUUGUAGGAUAUUACUGGAAGGUGUUUGAACCCUGGAGGGGUAGAUUUUAACCAAACAUCUGAAACGUGUUAUUGAGUAAAUCUCUGUGCUUCUCUCAGUCAUUUGUAUUGGACAUACUCCACUUCACAUGGUUAACUGCAUUAUCUGUUUGGAGAGAGCAUAAGGGAAGAUGACUUAAUAGUCCAGAAAGCAGAAAACCUGCUGGGUGUGUGGGAGUGUGAGGUUCAGAUCCAUGGACUGAAAUAAGCAAAGCAAGAACGUCAUGGUUGGAUUCUUACUCCCACGUGCCUGCCUGAAACUCUUUUAAGGUCAGUGAACAUCUGUCUUCCGUCUGAAUUUGACCAGAUAAGCCUUGUCCUUUACAAGUAGUGUGAGUGCUUCUCAGUCAUACUUUUCUAUUUGGACAGAUCAACAGUUUCUGACAAACAACUAUCUUAUCACAAAAUUUUCUGUCAGUUUUACUUCAAACAAACCUACUCUGCAAUAAAAAAGCUCAGUGGUAGAACACACAGGGAGUGACUUGCUGAACAAAAAAAGCCCCAUUUUUUUAACUAAUUCUCUCUGUUGCCCAACAUCAUCUAGGUUAGAAGUUCCUGGUAUGUGGGCUGGGGGUCAUCAUGGGAUCAUACUAAAUAUUAAAACCAAAGAAUGCAUCAUUUUUGCCUGACAGUGUAUUUUUAUGAGCAGCAGCCACUUUCCUCCAGGGACCUGCUUUUCAGUCAGAGGAUAUGAACCAUACCUGCUGCAGCAGAGAAACUGCUGAGUGAAAAGGAAUAUGUUCCAUGGACAGAGAUGUGGCUUUUGCUGGCGGUACUUUACUGUGUUACAUGCCUCACGAUGUAAUGGUGUAAAAAUGUGGACACAGAGGGAAGAAAAGCAUUAGACAGACCAACAUGAGGCAUGGAGUAACGGUGAGUUUCACACAGGUGAAUAUUUGACUCUUCAUUAAAUUUCAAUGGUAUUUGUACUGGCUAUGAAAUUAGACUUUUGCCAGACUUGGGCUAAUAAAGGGCAAUACCAAACACACCUAGUCAUGGAAAUAUGAAAAAAGAUGUUACUGUGGAGAAAAGUAGAUAUAAUAACUGAUCCUGUCCCUAUAGUCAGACUUUGCUGCAGCAGGUGCCAAGAUGUUGGUGUUGGAAGGUGUUGGAAAAGUGCUGGAACUACAGAAACUGCAGCUGGCUCUAUACCAUCUCCUGGCUUCUGAGCAGAAGGAAUCUUUGCUCCUGCCAAUAUAAAAUAGGUCCAGCAGUGGUUCUGAGACAAAGCAGCACUACUGAAUAACAAUCAAAUUCACUUGAAAAUCCAACUCAAAGCACCUGAAUGAGCAGUUUACCUGGGGGCUGUUCCACAAUUGCUUGAAGUCACCAGAAGGACUUUCACAGAGUUCAGCAGGUGCUGAAUCAGGCAAGUUCUUAGCAGAAAGGAAGACAUGACUGUUUUAUGGGCUUCAAGAAAACCACAGCCAACGAAAUGUAAGAGCUACUGUGUUAUAAUACCUUAAUAAUGGUAUCUUACUUUGCAAUUGAAGGAGACUGGGAAUGUAGUCUCACAGAUGUGAAUGCCCAAAAGAUACAUCUGGAUAAACACUAUAGACAUGAGGUAGACACAUCAAUGGACUUAUUUUUCUAGUUUGGAUCAAAAGAGAGUUUGUCAAUUCCUUGCUGUCUCAGAGUUCACCCUAUGAAUUGGUCUUGGAGCAUGCAGACUGGAUUUUUAUUUUUUUUUCAAUAAAACUAAUCUGGUAGAAAUGCUGCAGGAAGAUAUCUGCACUCCCACUGCUAAUGGGUGUUGAACAAGUGGGAUCAGACUAGAUCUAGUUUUCAGCAAGAACUUUAAACUGAAUGUGGACAUCACAUCCUUGUGGUCAACUCUUCUACCUCCCAGAUUCUCUCCUUGUGAAACACUGCCUGCUGAGGUUAGAUAUAGCUUAAAUGAAUUAAAUUCAAUAAUUUGUCUCUGAUUGAAGAGAUCUGACCUGAACAUCUACGCAUGCAUUAAGGUCUGUGAGAAGUUAACCUUCAUUGCAACUUACCCUUCCCUUUUGUAUUUAUGUAUCUUGUCUCUGUUUGUGGCAUGUGGAAGCAAACAUUGCUUAUCACCUUCUAUUUUUCUCUGUGCUUAAUUACGUUGCAAUAAAUGUUAACCCUUUAUAAUUCUUUAGAAUGAGCAGAAGCAGAUGCUGCUACAACCUAGAUGGUGUUUUUUGUCGUGUCAUUUCUAUGCUUUGUGUGAGUACAUCCUGCCACUUCCCUCAUUGUCUG